GACGUAGGGCGCGAGCGUUGUCCGGAUUUAUUGGGCGUAAAGAGCUCGUAGGCGGCUUGUUGCGUCGGCUGUGAAAACCCGCGGCUUAACUGUGGGCUUGCAGCUGAUACGGGCAGGCUAGAGUUCGGUAGGGGAGACUGGAAUUCCUGGUGUAGCGGUGAAAUGCGUAGAGAUCCGGAGGAACACCAGUGGCGAAGGCGACACGCUGGGCCGUACCUGACACUGAUGCGCGACAGCAUGGGGGAGCAAACAAGG
rnacentral:rRNA from 1 species